GGGCUGAAAGGUUGUCUGAACUUGCACGGGAAUCAAGAUUCAAAAGGGAUUCAGCGUCAAACCAGCUUCUGUGUUUGUACCAGGGGGCUUCGAGCACAAUACUCAGGCAGGGUCUGGCCGUAAGUGAUCAAAUGGGCUUCAUCUUCUAACGAAUCAAACAUGCAGUUUUCUUUGGAACCAUCCGAAAUCAUUAAUGAAAGGCCAUAAAACCAAGGAAGUUUCUGAUGGAAACUGCAACUUUAUUAACUCUUGCAAACAAGGAUCUUGUUGCAAGCUCAAACGCGUAGGACUCACAUGACUAAGAUGAUUUGACAUGCCGGCUUUAGGUCACGUUUGUAUAUGAGGCUAGGUCUUAUUUAUAGAAUUGCAUAUUGGUUUCCAAGUACCUCUUAAUGCGUUCUUGGGCUUGCACACACGCAUUGAACUCAUAGCCUAAAAUUAAGGAGCACAUUUUUCUUUUAAAGAAUCAUUCUUAUUCACAGCGAAUUCUGCAUGGUUAGAUGCUGGGGUUCAACUUUAUUUCUUUAACUAUUCAAAAGUUAAAAGUACACACGAAAUUUGUAUGUAAUUUUAUUUUAGACUUUGUGAAAAUAAAAUUGAAUUAAACUAAAUGGGACAUGAAUAUUAUUAUCUCAGCCAACAGGGACAAGAAAAUCCAUUUUAACUUAGCUUUAACCCCAUUCAUUGAGCCAUCACAAUCACUUAGGUUACAUUUUCACCAAACAUGAAGUGCCAAAUUCUAUGGUGUUUAAGAGGCAUUUCAAAGUAAUUUUUUAAUAUUUCAUAUAAUGCAACUGUCUCCUCGUUUCUCAAAUGAAAAAAAAAAAA